AGAACGUCACCUGUCUGUUAUCCACCUGCUUAAGUACUGGUGAAGGGGGUCAUCAGCUAUCAAGUUCUAGAUUUCAGCGGCUAAUAGAGGACACUGCUGAAGUCAGACGAGAGUGAAUCCUCAAAGGUCUGUGUGUGUACCUAAAUGAAGAUCCAGAGAAGCUGGUGAAAGAGUACAUGGACGUUGAUGGAGGUGCAGAAAUAGCCAUAGCCGAGACUUUCCUCGGAAUCUUUGUCAUUCGACCAGAGGGUGCGGAGGCUGCCGAUGCUCAUCUGGAUGUUGGGAUUGUCCUGGAGGGGGUGGAGGUUAUGAACAGCUUGGGGAGUGUAUUGUUUGCAAUAGUGAUGCUGCUGGGGCUAAUCUACGCACUAAACUUGAGCUACCCUCAAGAGCUCAAGCAUACCACCAGGCACCGGAACAGCUUCUUUCCCACAGCUGUCACGCUUUUGAACGCCUCCUGACAU